GCCCUCGCAUGAAGUCGGAAUCGCUAGUAAUCGCGAGUCAGCAUAUCGCGGUGAAUACGUUCCCGGGUCUUGUACACACCGCCCGUCACACCAUGGGAGUUGGCAACACCCGAAGUCGAUGAGCUAACCGCAAGGAGGCAGUCGCCUAAGGUGGGGUUGAUAACUGGGGUGAAGUCGUAACAAGGUACC
rnacentral:rRNA from 1 species